GGGAGUGAAAUAGAACCUGAAACCCUGCACUUACAAGCUGUGGAAGCACAUUUCUUGUGUGACCGCGUACUUUUUGUAGAACGGGCCAACGAGUUACGUUAAGUAGCAAGGUUAAGCACUUAAGGUGUGGAGCCGUAGCGAAAGCGAGUUUUAACUGAGCGUUCAGUUACUUGACGUAGACCCGAAACCGGGCGACCUACCCAUGAGCAGGAUGAAGCGAAAGUAAAAUUUCGUGGAGGUCCGAACCCACGAGCGUUGAAAAGCUCGGGGAUGACUUGUGGGUAGCGGUGAAAUUCCAAUCGAGCCCGGAGAUAGCUGGUUCUCCCCGAAAUAGCUUUAGGGCUAGCCUCAAGGUGAGAGAUACGGAGGUAGAGCACUGAAUGUCCUAGGGGGUAUUGCACCUACCGAAGACUAUCAAACUCCGAAUGCCGUCAUCUU
rnacentral:rRNA from 1 species